AUUGAACGCUGGCGGCAGGCCUAACACAUGCAAGUCGAACGGUAACAGGAAGAAGCUUGCUUCUUUGCUGACGAGUGGCGGACGGGUGAGUAAUGUCUGGGAAACUGCUUGAUGGAGGGGGAUAACUACUGGAAACGGUAGCUAAUACCGCAUAACGUCGCAAGACCAAAGAAGGGGACCUUCGGGCCUCUUGCCAUCGGAUGUGCCCAGAUGGGAUUAGCUAGUAGGUGGGGUAACGGCUCACCUAGGCGACGAUCCCUAGCUGGUCUGAGAGGGUGACCAGCCACACUGGAACUGAGACACGGUCCAGACUCCUACGGGAGGCAGCAGUGGGGAAUAUUGCGCAAUGGGCGCAAGCCUGAUGCAGCCAUGCCGCGUGUAUGAAGAAGGCCUUCGGGUUGUAAAGUACUUUCAGCGGGGAGGAAGGGAGUAAAGUUAAUACCUUUGCUCAUUGACGUUACCCGCAGAAGAAGCACCGGCUAACUCCGUG
rnacentral:rRNA from 1 species